GUCCUCCUCGUCGAGUCUUUGCCCGCCAAGCUCACGGCGCGAUCGACGGCCUCGAGGCCUUCGCCGCCGGCGCCAUGGGGCACCCGCUGGGGCACGGCGGUGGUGGCGGCCGAGCACGGGGGAGCUCCCCAUCCCAUCUACUGUCUUCCGCUUCGGCCUAGCUCGCCCUCCGCUGCUCUGCCCGCGGCCGCGCUUGCUCGCCACCCCUCCACCGCCGCGCUAGCCCUCCGCUGCUUUGCCCAAUGCUGCGCUCGCCCGCCGCCGCUCCUCCGCCGCGCUCACAUAUUUUUUGUUAGUGGCUGGUUGCAGGAAGCAGGCUAUGAGCUACUCCUAUGGGCUCGGAAGGAACUCGAGAACUUGGAGGUUGUCACGGCGGACGACGGCGGUGGUGGCGAUGGCAACACCGUUACCGUGCAUGGCGACAAGGCUCCCGUUGAUGGCAAAGGAGAGGCAGCGACUCCGGCGAAACGUGCCGACGUAUCAGGUGGCCAAGAAUGCGGCAUGGUCCGCGUGGAGGAUGUACAGCGGGUGGAGACGCCAGCUGCAGAGAUCACGAAUGCCAUGAAGGACACGGAGAUCGUGAAGAAUAAGGACCAGGAGAGAGGAGGCAGCGAGAGGGAAGAAGAGGAGACCGUUGCCAUGGCCGGCACGGGGAGCAGGGAGGAAGCAUCUUUUCGAUACAGCAUGGAAAUAGGGGAACCUCCUUACCGGCGGGAGCGGCGGGACGGCGGGUGCGCUUGCACUAACUCGUGGCCGCGGCGGGUCAGGGAGGCAGGCGACGCUGCCGGUCGCUGGGCUGCGGCGGCGGAUGGAGCCGCGUCGUCGGAAACCGCCGGCGGGCGCGGGCGGCGAAGGGCAAUGGAGGAAAAGGGGAGAGAAUGACAGGUGGGGC
rnacentral:lncRNA from 1 species